CCUACGGGAGGCAGCAGUAGGGAAUCUUCCACAAUGGGCGAAAGCCUGAUGGAGCAACGCCGCGUGGGUGAAGAAGGUCUUCGGAUCGUAAAACCCUGUUGUUAGAGAAGAAAGUGCGUGAGAGUAACUGUUCACGUUUCGACGGUAUCUAACCAGACAGCCACGGCUAACUACGUGCCAGCAGCCGCGGUAAUACGUAGGUGGCAAGCGUUAUCCGGAUUUAUUGGGCGUAAAGGGAACGCAGGCGGUCUUUUAAGUCUGAUGUGAAAGCCUUCGGCUUAACCGGAGUAGUGCAUUGGAAACUGGGAGACUGGAGUGCAGAAGAGGAGAGUGGAACUCCAGGUGUAGCGGUGAAAUGCGUAGAUAUAUGGAAGAACACCAGUGGCGAAAGCGGCUCUCUGGUCUGUAACUGACGCUGAGGUUCGAAAGCGUGGGUAGCAAACAGGAUUAGAUACCCGGGUAGUC
rnacentral:rRNA from 1 species